AAGUCGUAACAAGGUUUUCGUAGGUGAACCUGCGGAAGGACCAUUAACACGUAUCCAAACGUUAAAACCCACCCCGUGAACAUUCAUCCUGCUCUUAUAACCCGCGAAGCUUGCAAUCUCUGGUAAAUCAUAGCCCGGAAAGUAGUUUUGAUUCAGAGACCUCUGGCCCGUGCGAAUAUUGUUACAAUUUUGAGCGGUAGUUCUCUAGGCCUUGUUUCCCCAAGCAGUCAGUGUCUGAAAGUGUCAUUGAUUGUGCAAGGAUAACGCUUCACGAAUCUUGUAGACCGCAUCUCGCGGGCAGGAGCUAGGCCAAAGGGUCUCCAUGCCCCCUUACAACCCCACAGUUUAAUGUGAAACUCAAUGUAAUACAUAGGGUAAAAAAACCGAACAACUGUUAACAAUGGAUAUCUUAACGAUGAAGAACGCAGC
rnacentral:misc_RNA from 1 species